GAUGAACGCUGGCUACAGGCUUAACACAUGCAAGUCGAGGGGAAACGACGGGGAAGCUUGCUUCCCCGGGCGUCGACCGGCGCACGGGUGAGUAACGCGUAUCCAACCUGCCUCUGACUGAGGGAUAACCCGUCGAAAGUCGGCCUAAUACCUCAUGGUAUCGUCUGCGGGCAUCCAACGACGAUUAAAGAUUUCAUCGGUCAGGGAUGGGGAUGCGUCUGAUUAGCUUGUUGGCGGGGUAACGGCCCACCAAGGCUACGAUCAGUAGGGGUUCUGAGAGGAAGAUCCCCCACAUUGGAACUGAGACACGGUCCAAACUCCUACGGGAGGCAGCAGUGAGGAAUAUUGGUCAAUGGGCGAGAGCCUGAACCAGCCAAGUAGCGUGCAGGAAGACGGCCCUAUGGGUUGUAAACUGCUUUUAUGCGGGGAUAAAGUGAGGGACGUGUCCCUCAUUGCAGGUACCGCAUGAAUAAGGACCGGCUAAUUCCGUG
rnacentral:rRNA from 1 species